GAUGAACGCUGGCGGCGUGCCUAAUACAUGCGAGUCGAGCGAACGGACGAGAAGCUUGCUUCUCUGAUGUUAGCGGCGGACGGGUGAGUAACACGUGGAUAACCUACCUAUAAGACUGGGAUAACUUCGGGAAACCGGAUCUAAUACCGUAUAAUAUUUUGAACCACAUGGUUCAAAAGUGAAAGACGGUCUUGCUGUCGGUUAUGGAUGGAUCCGCGCUGCAUUAGCUAGUUGGUAAGGUAACGGCUUACCAAGGCAACGAUGCAUAGCCGAACUGAGAGGGUGACCGGCCACAUUGGGACUGAGAUACGGCCCAGACGCCUACGGGAGGCAGCAGUGGGGAAGAUUGCACAAUGGGCGGAAGCCGGAGGCAGCAACGCCGAGUGCGGGAUGACGGCCUUCGGGUUGUAAACCGCUGUCGCCUGGGACGAAGCGUGAGUGACGGUAAUGGGUAAAGAAGCACCGGCUAACUACGUG
rnacentral:rRNA from 1 species